AAGAUGUGACAUUAGGCAAUCUUACCUUGCAAGAUUGUGGUUAGAUUGUAGAAUAAGCUAGCUAAUUAACUAGUUAUCAGAGACUUUUUUCCCUAUAAAUUGAACUUUUUAAGUUAACUUAAGCCCCAUCUAAAGUUAUUAUAGCUACUAAUUAGCAAUCACAUCUCCCUUUCUAAUGGGAUUCUUAUCAACCAUUUUCAGGUAUUUGAUGUCUUGUUUUUCAAGCAAUGAAGCAAGAAAAUCUCCAGAGAAGCCUAAGAGCAAAUCAAAGUCAUCUAGAGCUCCCAUUGUGGUCUCUUCCUUCCCGGUCAACUCAAAUCUUUCUUGCUUAUAGCAUGCUGAAAUUUGAAAUGUAGUUGGUUCAAUCAUGGUAUGGACUGAUCUAUAAUUAACGGCAAUGAAGCCAUGGUAUUGAUAGUUGCCUUUGCAAAUGAGCUUAAUGUUCUUAUAUAUCUUGGUGAGUAUAAUUCAAUAAUUUCAUCCGUCUUUUGAAUAAGAUUUAUGGUAUUUUACCCUACUGCAUGCCUUUGCUUUGGUUACCUCCUUGUGUGAACUGCCCAAUGGUCAUAAAGAUCAAUGAGUUUAAGCCUUGUUACGUUUACCCAUGCACCAAUUUGUAAUGUCAUUCACUUUGAAUUAAUUUCUUGGUGUAGACGUAUCAAACAAAAACUCUUUAUAUGAUACAAAAUUAUAGCUCUUAUCAUUUUUAAGACACGAUGAUGGAGGAUGACAUUAUUCACUGCUUGAAGACCAAGCAAAACUUGGGGAAUACUCCUAGAAUUAUCAGGCGCCACACAAGUCAAAAAGUCAUGAAGGAAUAUUGAAAAUGGCUUCCUCAGUCUAAAGUCAAAAGCAGCCACUAGUGUAGGAAACAGGAAGGAAUUUACCAUCUAAUCAAUAUCACAAGCUGGGAAGAUGGGCACAUACCAUCUGGCUUUCCUUGCUAUGCAAGAAAAUUAGCCCAACUUCCAUUUCAAAUUAAACUUCCACUAUAAAUAUGUAGAAUCGUUUUCAUUCAAAGCUCAUUAAUACAAACUCACACUUCAGCUCUUGGCCUCUCAAACCACUUUGUUUAAUUUCUGAAAGCAGAAGAAGGAGAAGGGUGAUUGAUCAACAAUGGUGUUCUCAGCCAUCAUAAGCUGUUUUCUACCAUCAUCAUCGUCAUCUCGGGUGUCUGAUGAUGCUGGUGGGUCAGGCUCAAAGGUGCCUUCUAUGGGGAAAGACAAGAUGAGCAAAUCAAAAUCUUCAGGAGCUCCAAUAGUUCUUUCUUACUUUCCAUUGAACUCCUAUCUCUCUCGCUUGUAGUAGUACUAGUAAUAGAAUUCUGAGGAAAGGGGAGUUGAAUUUGCAGAAGGUAUCAAUGGUUAAUUUCUUCAGCUCAAUGAUGUUAUGUGGAUCAGUUAAUUAAUGGGGCUUCUUGAUCAGUCAGUUCAGAGACCACACACCAUGGGGCAGUUGCUUAUGGGGUGGUGAUGGUGAAGGAGGAACACCACUCAUGUACAUAUAGUUUGAUGAUUGAUUUGUAGUUUGAUUGAAGCAUAUCAUGUAAGAUCAUGGGUCCUUUGAUUUUAAUUAGUAAAAUCCUGAUGAAUAUAAUUCAAGUGUAAUCCAAUUGUUUGAUUUGUGACUUGGUAAGAUUUCUUGUUUCAUGUUAAUCCUUAUCCAAAUUCUUGUGCAUAACAUAAUAUUUUCAAUUAUAUCUUCGAAUUCAAUAAAAAUGACGAAGAACAAAAGGAAAAUCCCUCAAAUUUGUAAUAAAAUACUACUUUAUUUUCAAAAUAAAUUCUCAAAACUAUUUUUAGUCCAAAAUUUAUUCUACCUAUGUUUUAAUUUGAAAAAUUAUUUUUUAUUUAUUUUUUAAAAUAGAAAACCAUUUUAAAAAAUAAUUCUAACUUACUAUAAAGAGCUGAACUUCAUCCCAUUUUUUUAAUAACUUAUUUUCAAUUAGUUAGAUGGAGAAGCAAUUUAAACACCAAAAAUAUGAGGUGAGCGGAGGGUAAUCUAGGUGCCUAUUGAUUGAUCUAAUGAAGAAUAUAUGGAGGGGCAGAUUAAAAAACUAAUAAUCUUGCUUUGAUGAAUAUUAUUCAAAUUUGAUCCAAUAUCAUAAUCCCUUUUUUCGUAUGAUCUUAAAUAUCUUAUAUUCAUCAUAAAAAAAAUGUUCUUAAGUUAAUACAAAAUGAUAUGUAAUGUCACUUAAGAUACUUAAAAAAUUCAUUAUUAUGAAAAUCAAAGCCAACUUUUACAAGAAUCUUAUCCUUUUCUUACACAAGAUACCUUCAAUAUUUUCACUUUUAUCCUAGCAUUCCAAACACUUCUAGAGAAUUUGCAUUCCAAAAUCAAAGCCAACAUUAGGGAAUUUGUCACCUAGAAAAUUAAGGUCUUUUUUAAUUCUCAGAUUUAAGAAGCAUGGUGCAUGUUUUUUUAUUUUAAUUAAAAUUGUUUCCAAUAAUUUUAUAUAGAUAUAAUCAGUCUUUGUGCUUGCUGGUCAUUGCAACCUCACAGCACAUGCCCACAUACUAAUAAAUAUCAGAAACUUCUUCCUAGAAAUGCGGGACAUGGCAAAUAAUUGAUAAAAAAAUGAGAAGUCUUCAAUUCUUGGUGACCAAGAAAAACUUAGGUUAAUGUUCUUAAGAAUUAUUGGGUGGUAAUACAAGAAAGUCCAAAGUUUUCAGGAAUUGAUAAUGACUUCCUCUGAAUAGGGUCAAAGCAACCACAAGAGUAGGAAGCAAAAGGGAACCAUCUGAUCAACAGUACUAUAAGUCGAGAACAUAGGCACACAUAUCAUUUGGUUUUUCUUUCUAUACAAGAAAAUCAUCCCAAUCCCAUUAUAAAUACAGAAUUAUCUUCACUCAAAUCUCAUCAUCAACCUUCUAUUUCAUAUUUUUUUGGACAUAGGAAGAGCAAAAACAAAAGAAAAAAAAACACGUAAAUCAUAAUGGUAUUAUUUGUUAAUCUCAUCAUACACAUACAAACAUAAAUAAAGAAAAAUGAAAUUUUAACAUAGUUGGUAAUUGAUACUAUUCCUAUGCCCACGAAAUAUAAUAACACUUAAGAAUCGACUUCAUCACACACGUAUGAGUAUAAAUAAAAAAAAAACAAAAUUUUAACAUAUUUGAUAAUUAAUAUAAUUCUUACGUUCACGGAGUGUUCCAAUACUUUACGUUUAAAAUAUUAGGCAUAAAAAAGAGAGGUACCAUAUGUAGGGACCCCUCCCUCUGAGAAACACGUGGCACACAUCUCAUAGUGACACGUGGCGCAUUAUCAGCCGGAUCGCCAUUACCCGGAUUUCUCUAAGAAUACGCAUGACGCGCUUCUCCUAUCCGGACUGCCUCAAGGAAGAGCAAACGACGCUUAUAAAGCAUAGACAUCCGGACGGCUUCCAUAAUGCAUCCGCUCCACAAUACAUCCGGAUAACCAACAUGGGCUAUCCGGAUAUGACUGUCCGGAUCAUUGACUAAAGUAAAGCAAGUCUUACACGCUAUCACAACAACCAGCCAUGACCCACGUCCCAUCACCUGCAGAGUGAGAGGACAAGAUGAAGUGACAACAAGUCACUUCCCACGAUCAUUCUACAUGAUCACUUCCUAUGAUCUCUGACAGCCGCAUCACCUACCACGGUUUCUGACAGCCGCCCGUAGGGUGAUAAUGACCCUGCUACCACCUAAUGUCAUCAUGACAACAUAAAAUAUCUUCCCACCAUUAAUGAGAGGAACAAUACUCCUGGAACUAUAUAUAAGCCUUCACACGAAGAGGAAGGUAAUCUCCUGAUACCUAGUAAAAGGCCAAUUGAUUUAUAUCUCUCUUUCUAACCAUGACUAACAAAACCAUCGGAGGGUGCGUCCGGACACCCUGUCCGGAUGCCUUUUUGCAGGUAUAACGACUGGAUCAAGAACUUUUGUAGGUUGAGAAUGCGUGUCCAUCCAUUUGGCAACUGCGUGGAUCGUCAGGGACGCGAGGUAUCAACACCAUAGUGGGGUUAUCCUAUUGUAUUUGCAUGCACCUCAAGACCUAAUACCUUGUGGCAUGACUUAGGUUAGCUAGUAUAUUAUUUGGGAUAUCCAUGGUACAACCUAAUUACUUUGAUUUGUAAGAAUCUACAUAUAAUCUCAAUUGAUUUCAAACAAUUAAUUUGAUUUAGAAAAUUGAUGAGUUUAAUUAUGGAUAUUGUGUCAUACGACAUACCUUUGACAAAUUAUGGAUAAAUUACACUAGUAAGUAUAAGACCAUGAUUAAAAUUUCUAUUCAGACAUUUAUAAAAAUUAUGGUUGAUAUUUAAACAUUUUUUAUUUUUUAUUAAAAAACUAUCCUAAAUGAGAUUUAAAGAAGGUAACAUCACUGAUUUGAUUGCCUCCGAUAUUACAUUGUUACCUUACUUUUGUACUCAUCCAAGUCAAUUGCCCGACCAAAAUAAUGAUUUACUAUUCUUAAUGACCACACGACAUUUAUAAGUAGAUAAUGUGUCGCACCUUCUUUGAAGAUGGGUAGGCUAAGGAAUAUUCUUAAACCAUAAGUAAUUUAAGUAUUAGAAUAUUCAUUUAUAGAAACUCGGUCACACCAGUUAGGCAACAAAUUAUACAUUCUCAUUUGACUAUAAAUGAAAGUUAUAAUACCGUCUAAACAUAUAAACAUAGUAAAGAUAUAGUUAUAGUGUUUUAAGUUUUUUAGUGGAUAAUAAAGUAAGUUUUUUAGUGGAUAACAAAGUAGGAUUAAAAAUAAUUAUUUUUCCCAUUCAAUUGAUUUAUGUUUGACAACUUUUUCUAAAUAUUUUUUUUAUUAAAAAUAAGUAUAAUUUUGGUAUUUUUAAAAAUUUAAUUUAAGAAAGAUUUACUUUUGACAUCAUAUUAUUUCCAAAUAUAAAUUCGAUCGGAAAUUGUGGUUUGUCAACUUUAUCCACUAUGAUUAAAAAUUACAUCUAAUUUUUGUAUAUUUUUCAAAUUGAGACUUUUAGUUCAUAUGAUAGUGAUUUUAGGGAAUACUUAUAAUUUUUUUAAUACUUAAAAUUUUUUAUCUUUUAAGUAUGAAAAAAUUAAAAACACUUUUUAUAAUUAUUGUAAAACACACUCAUAUCCAAUAUGUUUUUUUUUUUUUUUUUUCACAUAUUUGAUCUACACUUCGUAUAAUUACGGUCAAAGACACUCAUAUCUAUUCAUAUUCUAUGUAUAUUUUUCGAAAUACUAAAAAUGCUUUUUAUAAUGGGAGAAUUACCCUUAAGGGUAGGCUGGGGAAAAAAAUUAUCGAGAAGGGUGGGUAGAUUUGAUAAUUCUUUUGAAGGCCUAACAUUUUUAUUAGACCAAUUUAUCCUCAAUUAAAUUCUAAAAUUAUAAUUUUUAAAGAAUAAAAGAAUUGAAAAAAAAGAGAGAAGACUGUCGUUCCAAUGCCUUCCAUUUGAAACCUUUCCUUUCGCAUGCUUCUCGUCAAAGCUUCCCUUUCGCAUGAUCUGGAUGUUUUCACGGUGGUAUGAUAUUAUGAAAGAUACCGAAUCUUGUGUAGGCGUGUACAGUUCCAUUGUUCCAGUGGUGACUUCGUUGAUGACUUCCAUUCUGCAUCAUUGUUGGCAUGUCUCCAUUUUGAAUAUUGUGGCUUCGACGACGUUUUGAACCACAUUUUUUUUCAUCAUAUCUGAAAAAUGUGAUUUUUAUUUAUUUAUUUAAAUAUGAGAAAUCUUAGAUUUUAGUUUCUAGGGUUCUUCAACCGCAUUUUUUUUUCAUCGUAUCUGAAAGAAGUGAUUAUUUAUUUAUUUAUUUAAAUAUGAGAAAUCUUAGAUUUUAGUUUCUAGGGUUUUUCAAUCGCAUUUUUUUUCAUCGUAUCUGAAAGGGUGAUUUAUUUAUUUAUUUAAAUAUAAGAAAUCUUAGAUUUUAGUUUCUAGGGUUCUUCAACCGUAUUUUUUUUCAUCGUAUCUGAAAGAGGUGAUUUUUUUAUUUAUUUAAAUAUGAGAAAUCUUAGAUUUUAGUUUCCAGGGUUCUUCAAUUGCAUUUUUUUUCAUCGUAUCUGAAAGAGGUGAUUUAUUUAUUUAUUUAAAUAUGAGAAAUCUUAGAUUUUAGUUUCUAGGUUUCUUCAACCGCAUUUUUUUUUCAUCGUAUUUGAAAGAGGAGGUGAUUUUUUUAUUUAUUUAAAUAUGAGAAAUCUUAGAUUUUAGUUUCUAGGGUUCUUCAACUGUAUUUUUUUUCAUCAUAUCUGAAAGAGGUGAUUUUUUUUAUUUCAUUUAAAUAUGAGAAAUCUUAGAUUUUAGUUUCUAGGGUUCAUUUAAAUUUUUUCAUCGUACGAUUUUAGUUUCUAGGGUUUAUAUGGGGUACCUAUUCACUGAACAACUGGAUUAUUGCGGUGUUAUGUUCUUUGAUUUGCAAGAGAAAUGGAAAGAUAGAGUAUGAAUGAAGUUUGAUUGCGUUAUUUAAAUUGGUUAUUUGGGGAAAACCAAUCUGACCUCUUAUUGAAGUUGUUGUAGUUAUUUUCAUUAUUUGUUGUAUGUGGUAAAUGAAAAAUGAAAGAAAAAAAUGGAUAAAAUAACUUAGAAUCUUAAUUUUUUUUUCUAGUUUUUAGUAUUAGUUUAUCAAAUAUGUUAUAUUUUAGAUGUUUUAUGUAAUUUGUAUUAUUUCUUUAGGAUUGCGUUUCCAAUAUUGUGUUAGGGAAUAUUGGACAUCAUUUUUUAAUGCAAACAAAAUCUCAUAUCUUUUUCUACAUUUCAAUUCUUUCGGAUUUAAUAUAUAUUCUUGGGAGCUGUCAGACACCAUAUUGGAUGGCCAGGGGACAUAACAUAUGAAAAAAAUAAACAUAAAUAAAUUAAAUUAUAUUGUAAUAUAUUGUAACGUUAGUGUAUUUGUAUUGUAAAUAUAAUGCAUUUAUGUUGUACCUAGUUUGUAUAAAUUAUAUAUGGUUUAAAAGGUUAGCCAUGAUGAGCAUUAACAAUGUGUACAUAUUGGAUUACCAUCAAACAACUUAAAUUUGUUAUCCAUUAAUACAAUGGCUCAGUGUGUUUUCAGUAGCAUGUAUGUAACUAUAUUUGGGAUCACUAAUAGUAGGUAAACCAAAAUAAAUAAGGGUACAAUACAAAUGCCCUACAUUUACAAUACAAUUACACUAGAAGUACAACAUAUUACAACAUUACUUGAUUCAUUAUACAUUUAAUUAUGACAAUUGAUUAUUUGAUAUAAAUUUUAUAGUGCAGUGUGGAGUAUAAUACAUGGAUAAAAGGCAAAAAACAAUACAAUACAACUAGUUUUUUGGAAGACUAUAUUCUCUCUUUUGCCAUUUUUUUGUAUGUCCAAGCUUGCUUAUAACUCAAUGAAACACCAUACCGACUCCUGAAAUCUUUGCAAAUUUGACGGGGCAAAUACUGAGGGGUUGCCCUUAUUACUUGCUCUAUGACAUGAGCACCUCUUCUUCCCCGCAUUGAAGGUUGGCUUGAACACUCAACAUCUGCACAAUGAUUGUGUACAUCAAUGAAGAUGUUAACCUUCAAAAUUUUGGUUGUGCCUUCUGAAUUAGUAGUUAUUUUCCAAGGGCACCCAUCAACUAAACAACACACAAAUAUUCUCUUUGGAGAGUUCUUUUUGAAUUUGUAUUGAAAUCUACCAACUAAUGACAUAGUAUAUAAUGCAUUUCUAAAUUCAUCUGCAUUAGAAAAACUAUGCCCACUCCCAAUAAUAGGUUGAGGACAAAGACUUAAAUCAUGUGGCCUAACUUCAGUUUCUGCACAUCUGGACAUGAAGCCUUGAGAAAGUCCUAAAUUAGACUCAUUGUUUGCUUGACAUGAUGCAACUGAAUUGUGUGUCUCCUUCGUACUAUUAUGACUGCAUUUUAUAGCACACUCAGUUAAUUAAUAUUAUAAGCACCUUGCAUCAUGGAAUUAAUGACAACUAAUACAAGAUAUAUCACUUACCAAUAAUCAUUUUGCACAUUGACUAUACCUCCUUCAACUUCUACUCUUCGAGUCCGUUUUAAUACAUAAAUACGAGCAUAAUAAUAACUAUGGGAUAACACCAUAUGCAUGUCCUCAUCAUCAUCCAACUGUUGAAGUGCAAAUGGAUCAAACUCAAGGGUGUAAUGAAAUGUAUAUCCAUUUGAAUUAAUAUCCAACCGUUCACAUGCCUUUGAAACAAAAUCAACAUAUGACAUCCCUUGUCCAAUGUACAUGCCUUUUUGUUGCCCACCCUUGUAUUGUAUUUGUUUGUCCUUCUUAGGUACAAUCUCCUCUCCUUCAUGAAGGUAGCCAUAAAUGGAAUUUUCCAAGUCCAUUUACCAAUUUAGAAGUACGUCUUCUUUCAUUGACAAUCAAAUCAAUCCAUUUCACAAUAUUACAACCAAGGAAAAUUUUACAACAAAUACAAAAUAAACAAAUGAAAAUUAUAAUCAAUUGAGACAUAUUUUAUAUAAUAAAGAAAAAUAUUUGUUGUAUAUUAGACAUGUUAGGGGUAUGCUAAAGAACCCACAAUUGCCCAAUUUCAUAAGAACUUUGAAAAUUUCAAAAUUUUACCUUAUCGUAAUGUAUCGUAAUGUUAUUGUAUUUGUAUUGUAAUUGUAGUGCAUUUUUAUUAUACCUCUAUAUUUUUAUAUAUAAAAAAAAUUAAUUUUAUAGAUUUUUUUUUAUCCAUCAUUGGAUUAUCAUCAACAAUUUCAUGUAUUGAAAUUACAAUAGUGUAUUUUUGUUGUCUUUUUAUAAUUUUGGCUUGCAAGGAUGCUUUAUGAUAGGAAUACAACAUGAUAGCCUAGAAAUGCCAGUUUAGUAAAAAACAAUUCAAUAUUUUGUCAUUUUGGUAUAUUGUAAUGUAUCGUAAUAUUAAUGUUUUUUCAUUGUAACUAUAUUGCAUUUGUAUUGUACUUAUACUUUAUAACUGAAGUAAUGGUUCUUUUACAUAACCUUUAAACUACUAGGCAUUCAACUCAUCAUACCAAAAUAAUACUUAUACAAAAAAGUAACAAAUUCAUAACAAAAAUAUAGUGAUCUUAACUCUUUAAUAAAUUCAUAAAAAAAGACAAAGUGGUCUCAUACAAAGGGGAUUUCAAUUUUCAAUGAAAAUCCAAAUAUGUUCAUAAAUACACAAACAAAGUGGUCCCAAACAAGCAUGAAACAACUGAGAACAUUUUUUCUUCAACCAUGUAAAAAAGUCUUAACAACAAAACUAAAGUGCAAACCUUUUUGAAUGGAAAUCAAUAAUAAGCAUAUCAAACAGCCCACCCGAAAAAUAAAUUAAAAAUAAAAACACAUCUUCAAUAUGACCAAAAUAAUAUAAAAAAAUUCAAAAUAAUAAAUUUAAAUAACAUUUUACACAAAAAUGUAAUUUCUUUCUCAAAACCUCCUUCAAUAUUUCAAAUCUAAUAUCUUACAUCUACAUUGUUAACAUUAUUAACUUUUUGUUCCUUCAAUCCGAUUUUUAAAUUAUUUAUUUAUUUAUUCCAUAAACUAAAGUUUUUUUUUUUGUAUUUAAAAAAAAACUUACUUUUAAUGUAUUUCUUGCUAGAUUCACACAAAAAAACAAGCUUUGUGUAAACGGUUUUAGAUUAUGACCUGAAGUGUUGAACCUUUUUCCUUUUUCCCUUUUGUCUUCUACAACACGGAUAAACUGCAGGUAGGUUAAAGAAAACUCUUUUUUCUUUGUUGUUGCUUUUCACUCUGCUAUUACUUUUCACUUAUUAAGGGUAGUCUUGACAUUUAAACAAAAUAAGAUCUUUGGAGGAAUUAUCAUAAUUUCACACUACUCUUCAUAAUAAUUAUCAAAUUUACCCACCCUCAUCGGUCAUAUUUUCCCCCAACCUACCCUUAAUGGUAAUUUUCCCUUUUAUAAUCGCUAUCAAAUACACACAUAUCUUAUAUGUUUUUUUGGAUAUUUGGUUGACACUUCCUAUGACCACUUUUAAAGACCCUCGUAUCCUACUUGGUUUUUUUACAUAUUUGGUCCCACCCUCUCUGUAUGUUCCCCGAAGCUUCCCACUUUCUCUAAAAAGAUUUCUCCUUAAACUCAAGUGGAACCAUGUCAUAUAUGAUUUGGCUUUCCUAUUUGGCUUUCCUUGCUCUGCAAGUAAAUCAAAUCCACCUCCAUUUCAUAUUUCAAAUCUGCACUAUAAAUAGGGAAGCAUCGAACCCUAAUGUUUCAUCAAGUAUCUCAAGCUUCCUCUCAUUUCUAGUUUUCUCUCAGGCGAAAGAAGGGUGAGAAAUGGUGGUCUCAGUCAUACUAGAUUGCGUUGUUCCAUCAUCUUCCUCAUCCCGGGUCGUCGACUAUGCUGGCGGCUGGCCUUCCAUGGAGAAACCUAAAAGCAAGUCAUCAAAAUCUUCAAGUGCUCCAAUCCUGGUCUUUCACUUCCCUGUUAACUCCUACCGCUCUCGCCUGUAGUGGUUGAGUUAAUUGCUUGAGGAGUGAGAUGGAGUUUUGUUUUCAUUUACAGUUUGAUGAGUGAUUUGCAAUAACUUCAUACAAGAAUAUUGUAUGCAAUGAAAGAGCUAUUUUUGAUUGAUUUGUUUUUUCUUAAGAUUUCUCCUAUAUCUUGUUCUCAGAUCCCUUUACCUUGUUUACCUCCUUUCCUGAAGUUCAGAUUUUCUUCAUCCAACACACUGAUAAGUGGCUCUGAGCCUGCCUAAUGACCUCGAAGAUCAAUGGGUUCUUCAUUUACUUUUCUUUUCGUCUAUGAGCAAUGAACUAGAGAUCAGUGAAUGAAAGAAAAAAAGGAAAUGUCAUAGAAAGUAUGCAACAUUGCAGAAGAAAAGAAGAUGAAGCUGUAAAUAUAUACGUAUAUUGACCAGUUGAUGACAAUUUGAUCCAUUGAUGAUUUAAUUUAAACCUUACCAGAGCGAUCAAUUGAACUGCUAUUAACUAUUUGAUUGAGAAAAACCAAGGGCAUGUUUCCCAAUGUGGAUCCUAUCAGUUAGGUUAGUUGGUCAUUGCGUGGUAAUAAAUAUCAGUAACGAAAUGUGAGACAUUACAGAGAAUUGCUAAAGAUUAGUGAAAAAUCUUUAAUUCUUGGUGACUAAGAAAAACUUAGAUUAAUGUUGCUAGAAGUAUUGGAGGUCAUAGAAGUAAGUCAAAGUUCUCAAGGAACUCAUGAGGAUGACUUCCUCCGAGUAGGGUCAAAGCAGCCACAAGGGUAGGAAGCAGGAGGCCAGGAACCAUCCAAGCAAUACUAUAAAUUGGGAACAUGGGCAUAUAUCAUUUGGCUUUUCUUGCUAUAUAUACAAGAAAAUUAACCACCCCAAUCCCACUAUAAACACAGAAUCAUCUUCACUCAAAUUUCAUCACCAACCUUCUGGAUCAUAAUUUUCUCGGACAAGGAAGAGCAGAAACCAAGUCAAUUACAAUGGUGUUUUCAGCCAUCUUGAGUUGUUUUUGGCUUAGUGAAGAGGUGAAAUCUAACAGCAAAUCAUCAAAACCUUCACAAGCUCCAAUACUGGUUUCUUACUUCCCUGUCAGCCUUCCUCUCUCGCUUGUAGUACUUUAAUUACGAAGGAGAGAUCACCUGCUGAAUCAUAAAGGCAGAAAUGGUUUAUUCAUCUGUUAUAUUGAUCAACUCAUGGGGUUUUUUAAUGUAUAAAUUCAUUAAUUCACGAUUGAUUUGUAAAUUAAUUUGAUUGAAGCACACAUAUUAUAUAAGAUUAUUGUUUCUUGAUGAUAAUUAAGCUAAUCAUCAUAUAUACCUUUCCUAAUUAUAGAAAAACCAGGGCUUGUUUGGAAACGGUUGUGAAAAAUAAUUUUUGAGAACAAGUUUUACAAAUUGUUUUAUAAUAUUUUGUAGAAAAAAAAGUUUAUUUAAAAACUUGAAAUGUUUUUAAUAUUUUCAAAAUAAUUUUUAUAAUUAUUUUUUAAAAUAACUCUAAAAAAUAUAAGUGAAAACAAUUAAAAACUGUUUUAUAAAAACACCAUAUUUUCUAAUUUGUCAAACAUAUUUUCUAGUUUUUUGUUUCUGAAAAACAGAAAAUUAUUCUCCAAAAGAAUUGCUAAACAAACUCUAGACUACUUCAAUCCUCAUUUGUAAUUAUCUUGAUUAAUAAUAUUGUUGUGUUCCUUCGGCUAUUACCAAUUGGCAACACUUGACCCAACAUUUGAUAUUAGAGUUCUAAUUAAUAUAUAAUUAAAAUUUUCUAAUUAUGUGUAAUUUAAUGAUGGGAUAUUAUUGAACAGCAUCAUAAAAAAAAUUUAAUAUUAACUAGAUUUAUCACUUAAAAUAUUGAUAACAUUAUUUUUUUUUUAUAUAUAUUUCAUCUAUGUCAUUUACCUUGAUGCCGUGAUGAAUACUUCUACUAUUACUUAAGUUGAUAAAGUCAAAAAAUAUUGUUAUGUACUGAGAGUGACUUUCUUCCUCCAUGGUCAAAGCUGGCACAUGCCAUAGGAAGUGGAAGCUCACGAGCAACAUGGGUACUUAUCAUUUGACUAAGAUAAAAUUAAUUAGGAUAAAUAUUAAUAAAAUUAAAAAAAACAGGUAAAUAUUUUAAUUUGAUAAUUAAAAAAUAAAUUAAUUUUAUCGAAUAAUAAAAAUCAAAUAAUAAGUUUUAAGUUUACAAUUUAAGAAUAAUUUAAUUUAAAAUUAAUUAAGUUAUUAAAUAUAAGUAUUAAAUUUUACCAAAAUGUCAUUUUCACCUCGUCUUGAUGAAGCCAUUAAGUAUUUAACAUUAGUCAUUGAAUUCUUUUUGGAUCAUUUUGAAACCCAAUGAUGUUGGAGAAAUGUUGAUGAUUUAUUGUUUGGUAUGUUUUAAGGUUAAAUAUUUAGGGUUCAAGGUUUAAAAUUACUAUUUAGGGUUUCAUUAUCUUUUAAUUCAACAACACUUGUAUUAUCAAAUAUUUGAAUACUUAAAGCUUCUAUUAUUCAUCAGUCUUUGAAAAUGAUGUGUAUUUAUUGUAGAGGCCACAACAAAAGCAGUAAUACUGAAUACUUCCUACUAUCCUGACCAGUUCUUAAAGUCCAAAUGAAAUGAAAAUCUUGUGACACUGAAAGUGACUUUCUUCCGAAAUAGUCAGAGCAGCCACAACUGAUGGAAAUUCAAAGGAUCCAACUCACAAUUUUCACAAGAAACAUGGUCAGUUGGACUUCAAUUGCUUUAUAUUCAAGAUAUUAAGUGAUUUUAGCACCGAGUAAAUAUCGGAUUGCCCUCAAGUAGGAUGUCUUAUUUUUCCAAAAUAUAAAUAAAUCCCCUUAAUUAGGAAGAAAGCUUGAGAAUCACAUCUAAUGAUAAGCAUUAUCCUAACAUAUUUAUUUAGUCUUCUCAAGGAGACUUAGUUAAUAUAUAUGUUUUUCUUCAUUGGUUUGGUCCCACCCUCUAUUUGUUUGUUCCCUAGAGCUGGUUAGACUAGUCAAAAUUUGAAAGGUGGUGUAAUUUGACACGACUUUUCUUCAAAGACAUGGACACCACAGCACCAAAGUUUAGUUGUUGGGUCUUUUUCUAUAGUCGGAUUAAGCCACUUGCUGCCACGAGUCUCACAGGAAGGUCCAGGGAAUUGACCCAUCUCAUAUAUUUAUCAUUUAUCUUUCCUUGCUAUGCAAGUAAAUCAACCCUACUUCCAUUUCAAAUCUGCUGUAUAAAUAAAGAAGCAUCUUAGCCUAAUAUUUCAUCAAAUAUCAGACACUUUCUCUCAUUUCUAGUUUUCUCUGCAGGCAAAUUAAGAAGGUUAAAAAUGGUGUUCUCGGCCAUACUAAGUUGCUUUGUUCCAUCUUCUUCCUCGACCCGAGUCUUCAAUGAUGCUGGUGGGUCUAGUUUGAAGGAACCUAAGAGCAAGUCAUCGAAAUCUUCAUCAAGAGCUCCGAUCCCGGUCUCUUACUUCCCUGUUAACUCCUACCUCUCUCGCUUGUAGUGAUUAAUUUGAUCGCAAGUUGGAGUUAGACUUUGAAGAGUACCAAUGGAUUAUUGAUUCAGUUUAUGUAUUAUAUGAUGGGGUUCCUCAUCAUGCAGUUGCUUGAGGAGUGAUGAUGGAGUUUGUUUUAAUGUACAGUUUGAUGAUUAAUUUGCAAUAAUUAGAUUCAAGAAUAUUGUUAAUUUCCUCCAACUGCAUGCAAUGAAACAACUCUUUUUAAUAUAAAGUUGGGUAUGAUGAUACCAUGAAAUUACCUGCAACCAAAUAAGACAUUAACCCCAACUGAACUUCCUUGUUGUUUCUCAAUUUGAUCAGUAAAGGAGGAAGUCUUAAAAAAGCCAAUGGAAAAUGACCCCACCAUUUUAGAGAAACACUAGGUGAAAUUUGAUCCACAGAAUCUUCUAUACAUAUUUUAAAGUUGUGAGUGUCUCUUAAACCUAUAAUGGACAAUAUCUAUGUGAGAGAUGACAAGUUAUUAUAAAUAAUAUUAGAGUUAAUUCUUUAUCCGUGAAAGUUUGUUUGACCUUGUAAAUGGUUUUUAUCUUUUUGUUAUCAUAAUUCUAUGCAUUACAAUGAGGACGUUGCGUCUUUCUGAAGGCCACGCUAUAUAUGUAUUGAUUUUUCUUCAUUUUAUAAGCAUUCUGAAGGCCACGCUAUAUAUGUAUUGAUUUUUCUUCAUUUUAUAAGCAUUUUUUAAAGUCAUGAGUGUUUAUGAGGCACAAAACGGAUCACUACAAAUAUUUAUAUAGAUUUGCAUUUAAAUCCAAUAAAAUAUUAAAGAAAAGACUAAAACGGAACUUCGGUAUUGUAACUACUUAUGACCUAGUAGUAAACCUGAUUUUAAUAUAUCAUAUUAGAUUAUUUAUUUUUUAAAUACAUAAAUUGUUAGGUAAUAGAUCAACGAUAUAUACUAGACCGUUAACAUUAUCUAUAUAUUUAUCUUUGAAUUGAGCAGCAACAGCGAUUGACAUGCUUGUUGGUGGGACCUAAUUCAACAAUGAAUUGUAUUAUCACAUAUUUUAAUACUUAAAGUUUCUAUAAUUAAUUAGUCUUUGAAAAUGAUACAUAUUUAUUGUAGAGGCUACAACAAAAGCCUCUACAAUUAUUUUUAAGAGAAAUUAUUUAAGGGAUUUUUUGUAAUAAGAACAUGAAAUAAUAAUUUAUUUUUUUUCAUAUGUUAUAUUCUAACAAAAAAAAGUCCUUUAUUUUUUCAAAAAAGCGUCUAUUUCAUAAAUUAAUAUUAGUGAUUUUCUAGAUUUUUAAAAAUUUACUAAGCACAAUAUUAAAAACUUUUGUAUUCUAGGGAAGUCAUGAGACUUGGUCAAGAUAUGGAAUAUGGGAUGACGUUAAGCCUGAGAAAGAAAAUAUAAUUUCCCGGAAUAAGUAAAAGUAGGAUGUCUAAGGAAGAAAGCAUGAGAAUCACAUUGGAUGAUUAGUUUUAUCCUAUCAUAUUUAUUUAAUCUUAUUCCAAAGGAGACUUUAACUAAUAUGUUUUAAUUUUCUUCAUUGUUUUGGUCCCACCCUCUAUUUGUUUGUUACCUAGACCUUCCCAUUUUUGCUAGAAGGUUUUCUUCUUCUGGGUCAGACUAAUCAAAAUUUCAAAAGUUUAGUUGUUGGGUCUUUUUCUAUAGUCAGAUCAAGGUAGCAGCAGCUGCCACGAUUGUCACAGGAAGCUCAAGGGAAUCAACCAUCUCAUAUAUUUAUCGUUUAGCUUUCCUUGAUAUGCAAGUAAACCAACCCUACUACCAUUUCAGAUCUGCAUUAUAAAUAGAGAAGCAUAUGUUAGCCUAAUAUUUCAUCAAAUAUCACACACUUCCUCUCUUUUCUAGUUUUCUCUGCAGGCAAAUCAAGAAGGGUUAAAAAUGGUGUUCUCAGCCAUACUAAGUUGCUUUGUUCCAUCAUCUUCCUCGUCCCGAGUCUACAAUGAUGCUGGUGGGUCUAGUGUGAAGGGCCCUAAGAGCAAGUCAUCGAAAUCUUCAUCAAGAGCUCCGAUUCCGGUCUCUUACUUCCCCGUUAACUCCUACAUCUCUCGCAUGUAGUGAUUAAUUAAUUUCACUGCAAGGUGGAGUUAGAAUUUGAAGAGUAUGAAUGGAUCAUUGAUUCAGUCUAGGUAUCAUAUGAUGGGGUUCUUCAUCAUGCAGUCGCUCAAGGAGUGAUGACGGAGUUGGUUUUCAUGUACAGUUUGAUGAUUGAUUUGCAAUAAGUUGAUCGAAGAAUACUGUAUUAGAUCUUCAUCUUGUUAAUUUCCUCCAACUGCAUGCAAUAAACAGUUCUUUUUAAUAGAAAGUUGGGUACGAUGAUACCAUGAAAUUACCUGCAACCAAAUAAGACAUCAGCCCCUACUAUGAAAAUUGAGAAACAACAAAAGAGUUCACUUGGGGUUUCCAUUGGAAAGAAUCGGUACUUGAAAUAUUGGCAAUCAGUGAUUACCAUAUGUAUAACUGCUAAGUAAACCCUAGAAUCAGUUAGGGUUUAUCAUCAUCGAAGACAAAGGUUGUUCGAAUCAUAUAUUAAGCAAAAACUACUUACAUUAUACAGAUGAUGAUCAGUAAGGGAAGAAGUCUUAAAAAAGCCAAAGGAAACUGAACCUACGAUUUUGGAGAAAUUAGGGUGUAAUUUGAUCCACAAGGUGAUGACUGAUGACUAGAUAUGCAUGGUGGGAUUUGCCCCAGCGGUCCAUGAUGAUAGAAGGCUAUUAUCCUUUUACACAAGCACUAAAAGAAAAAGGAUAAAUUAAGUCGCCUUGCUUUGUCCUUUCAUCCGCCCAAAAUUCUUGCAAUAUGCACCUCAAAUCAAACCUAAGAGUAUCAAUCACUCUCUUUCUCUCCAUCCAUUAAAAAGUAUUAAUUUCAAACUUGUGAUAUCUCACAUGUUGGAAGUAGAUUUGUAUAGGUUUUUUAAUUUUGUAGAUGUACUUUAAAGUUGUGAGUGUCUAUUAGACUCACAAGGAAUAAUAUCUAAAUGAGAAAUAGCAAGUCAUUACAAAUGAUAUUAAAGUUGAUCAUCGAUCUUAAUAUGAGAGUUUAUUUGACCCUGCAAGAGAUCUUUUUAUUUCUAUGAUCUUAUGAGAUACAACGAGAACGUUAUGCACUUAUAUGAGGGUGUAUUAUAUAUGUAAUGAUUCUUCUUCAUCUUAUAAAUAACUUUUAAAGUUGUGAGUGCGUAUGAGACCCAAAACGGAUCAGUACAAAUAUUUAUAUAAACUUAUAUUUAAAUCCAUUAAAAUAUUAUUUGUUAUAUUAAAAUAAAUUGUUGUUUUUUAAAUGAAUUGGAAAUAUUUUGAAGUGUUUGUUCAUAAAGAAUUUUGAUAAAUAAUUGAAGAUAUGAAGAUUAAUUGUAGGGGACUCGUGACACGUAUUCAACAUAUCAAAUAUAAUUACUGAAUAAACAGCCAAAAAAAUAAAUGUAAAAAAUAAAAAAAAUACCAGGGCACCAGCUGAGAGAUGUGGAAGGGUCUUUAUCGGCCAAGAAGAGGAUGAGAUUGGCCUUGUUCUUCGGCGCUUCUGAUCUGAACUUCUCCAGCACGCCGUCGAACGUCGACACAGUGGCGUCCACCAUUUUCAGCGGCGUAUUCGCUUUUUCUCAGGGGUAUUUUGGGAAAUCUAGACAAUAUCAUUGCUUGACAACAAUGGCAUUCGUCUGUGCUCCUUUUACAGGUUUUAAGCUAAAAUUUGCCCACCCACAGGUGGUGAAAUUCCUGAUAUGCCCUUCAUAUUGGAGUCACCAAAAUCUCCAUGACAUAGUAUAUCACAUUUAUGUCAAAUUUGGAGCCAAUGAUAUAUUUUGUGGUUUUAAAGUUCAUUAUAUACUUAGAAAGGCUUAGAAUACAAAUUUGAUAAGGUCAAACAAUGAUAUUUUUCUAAAAAUUUUUGUCCUACGAGGUGGGCACACAUACCUAGAAAAGCCUAAAUCCUUGACAUUAUGCAAUCUUACUUUACAAGAUGGUAGCAAAUAAUUAAUUAUUUUUCAAACACCGUAUCCCCUUAAAUAUUAUAGUUGGUUCAAUAAGUGGUAGAGUCAGGAUUUCAAUUAGGGGACUAACUCUUAAGACAUAUGUAAAUUUUGCUGAUCAUAAAAGAUGUGGGCUUUGACCCAAUAACCCAUCCUUGGCAUUUUCUAAGGGGGGGCAUAAGUUGGUUUGGGGUGGGAAGUGGAGAUGGCUGGUUUCACCCUUGGGUUCAGUCAUUGUAUUGAUUGAUCCAAUGAAGAAUAAUAUUUAGUAUUGACAUUUGCCUUCAUAAAUGAGCUUAAUAGUAUUAUCUUGGUGAGUGCAAUCCAAUAAUUAACUUGAUAUGUGUUUUUCAUAAAAUUUUAUGUAUCUUUUUAUAUUUGCCCUUUACUACCAAAUGUCAUUGUUCAUUUUGAAUUUUUUUCUUCUAUAAUGAAUAAAUACUUUUAAUUUAAUAUAAAAUUAUAAUUAAUCAUAUCAUUUUUUAGAACAUGUAGUAAUAGUAAAUAUGUGUUAACGUCUUUGAAUCCGGGACUCGCUUUCUAUGAUAAAAAGAAUAUACCAUUAACAUUAUGAAAUGAUUUUUGAAACUCCCACCAAUCAACAUUAAUUAGUUAGUCCUUUUUAGUUAGAGAGUUAAUUUUACUAAGACCCCUAGGGUGUAAAUACGUACACAUAACCAUUAUUAAUUUUAAAUUUUGUCACUAAGUGUCUUUGUAAAUUUAUUUUGUUUAUACAAUUUAUUUUUUAAAGAGAUUUUAAGGAAGUGUAAUUAAUAAUUUUUUGAAAAAUAAGUUUUAUUCUUAAAUUUUUUUUAUAUAUGAAAUACAUUUAUAGAAGUGCUAAUUGAUAGAAUUUGAAACUAAUGAUGGUUUAAUGUAUUUAUACUGAACCUUGGGAUGUGAAUGAAACUAGCCCUUAGCGAAAUAGGGUUGAGGAGUUAAACAUGCAUGGGUUGAUUGUAUUAAGGAUGAAAAGUACUAUUAAGUUCUUGGAGACCAAGCAAAACUUGGUUAAUACUCCUAGAAUCAUCAGGUGGUCGGACUAGAAGUCAAAAGUUUUGGAGGAAUUGAAAACGACUUCCUCAAACUACAGACACAAGUGUGGGAAACAGGAAGGAAUUAAUUAACCAUCUAAGCUGGGGAGAUGGGGACACAACAUUUGAAUUUCCUUGCUAUACAAGAAAAUUAGUCCAACUUCACAGUAUAACACAUCAUCAUCUUCAUUCAAAUGUCAUCACUACUCACACUUCAGCUAGCUAGCUCUUGGCUUCUCAAACACUCACUUCCCUUAACUUCUGAAUAGAAAAAUUAAGGAGAAUUAAGGGUGAUUCAACAAUGGUGCUCUCAGCCAUUCUAAGUUGUUGUCUGCCAUCAUCAUCGUCGACUCUGCCUCGGGUGUCCGAUGAUGGUGGUGGGUCAAGAUGUGACAUUAGGCAAUCUUACCUUGCAAGAUUGUGGUUAGAUUGUAGAAUAAGCUAGCUAAUUUACUAUUUAUCAAACACUUUUUUCCCUAUAAAUUGAACUUUUUAAGUUAACUUAAGCCCCAUCUAAAGUUAUUAUAGCUACUAAUUAGCAAUCACAUCUCCCUUUCUAAUGGGAUUCUUAUCAACCAUUUUCAGGUGUUUGAUGUCUUGUUUUUCAAGCAAUGAAGCAAGAAAAUCUCCAGAGAAGCCUAAGAGAAAAUCAAAGUCAUCUAGGGCUCCCAUUGUGGUCUCUUCCUUCCCUGUCAACUCAAAUCUUUCUUGCUUAUAGCAUGCUGAAAUUUGAAAUGUAGUUGGUUCAAUCAUGGUAUGGACUGAUCUAUAAUUAAUGGCAAUGAAGCCAUGGUAUUGAUAGUUGCCUUUGCAAAUGAGCUUAAUGUUCUUAUAUAUCUUGGUGAGUAUAAUUCUAACUAUUUGAUCUGUCUUUUGAAUAUGAUUUAUGGUAUUUUACCCUACUGCAUGCCUUUGCUUUGGUUACCUCCUUGUGUGAACUGCCCAAUGGUCAUAAAGAUUAAUGAGUUUAAGCCUUGUUACGUUUACCCAUGCACAAAUUUGUAAUGUCAUUCACUUUGAAUUAAUUUCUUGGUGUAGACGUAUGAAACAAAAACUCUUUAUAUGAUACAAAAUUAUAGCUCUUAUCAUUUUUAAGACACGAUGAUGGAGGACGACAUCAUUCACUGCUUGAAGACCAAGCAAAACUUGGGGAAUACUCCUAGAAUUAUCAGGCGCCACACAAGUCAAAAAGUUAUGAAGGAAUAUUGAAAAUGGCUUCCUCAAUCUAGAGUCAAAGCAGCCACUAGUGUAGGAAACAGGAAGGAAUUUACCAUCUAAACAAUAUCACAAGCUGGGAAGAUGGGCACAUACCAUCUGGCUUUCCUUGCUAUGCAAGAAAAUGAGCCCAACUUCCAUUUCAAAUUAAACUUCCACUAUAAAUAUGUAGAAUCGUCUUCAUUCAAAGCUCAUUAAUACAAACUCACACUUCAGCUCUUGGCCUCUCAAACCACUUUGUUUAAUUUCUGAAAGCAGAAGGAGAAGGGUGAUUGAUCAACAAUGGUGUUCUCAGCCAUCAUAAGUUGUUUUCUGCCAUCAUCAUCGUCAUCUCGGGUGUCUGAUGAUGCUGGUGGGUCAGGCUCAAAGGUGCCUUCCAUGGGGAAAGACAAGAUGAGCAAAUCAAAUUCUUCAGGAGCUCCAAUAGUUCUUUCUUACUUUCCAUUGAACUCCUAUCUCUCUCGCUUGUAGUUGUACUACUAAUUGCAUUCUGAGGAAAGGGGAGUUGAAUUUGCAGAAGGUAUCAAUGGUUAAUUUCUUCAGCUCAAUGAUGUUAUGUGGAUCAGUUAAUUAAUGGGGCUUCUUGAUCAGUCAGUUCAGAGACCACACACCAUGGGGCAGUUGCUUAUGGGGUGGUGAUGUUGAAGGAAGAACAGCACUCAUGUACAUAUAGUUUGAUGAUUGAUUUGUAGUUUGAUUGAAGCAUAUCAUGUAAGAUCAUGGGUCCUUUAUUUUUAUUAGUAAUAUCCUGAUGAAUAAAAUUCAAGUGUAAUCCAAUUGUUUGAUUUGUGUUUUGGUAAGAGUUCUUAUUUCAUGUUAAUCCAUAUCCAAAUUCUUGUGCUUAA
rnacentral:lncRNA from 1 species